AUGGAAUUCCAGGGGAAUCUGUGGCUGCCCCAUCCCUGGGAGUGUCCAAGGCCAGGCUGGAGCAGGCUGGGAUAUCAGGAGGUGUGGGAAUGGCUGGGAAUUCAGGUCCCUUCCCACCCAAAGGUCCUGCAGGUCCCAGAGGUCCCUUCCAGCAGGGAGUGGCCGUUAAUGCCAUGGAAUUCCAGCAGGUUCCUUGUGUGCUUCCCAUCCUGCUCCUGCAGGGCUGGCUCAGCUCAGCCAGAGCCUGCCGGGCCCUUUCCCCGGGAAUUUGCCGGGAAUUCAAACCUGUCGGAUCCUGGGGAGCGUUUCCCUGGAUGGGAGGCUCCUUCCCAGCUCCAGGCCUGGAAUUCCUGGUGCCCCUGGGGGCCUUUAGGAACGUUCUGGCUCAGCCUGGGGUGUGUGGGAGCAGCUCGUGUCCUUCAGGGGGGUGACCAGCUCGGGAAGGCAGCCCUUGGAUUGUUUGCCCUCUGCGUCGGCUGCAGGGACAGGGAAGGGCUUGGAAUUCCAGGGAAUCCGGCCCGAGGGAGCUCUGGGAUUCGGGAUUGCUCCGUGUUUGCCCUGACAAGGUGGUUUUGUAGGUUGGAAAGGCCAGGAAAGGGGGAAUUCUGCCCAGCUGGCGUGAGACACCCCCACCCACUGCAGCUCUGGGGUCUGACAUUCCUGAAGGACCCCAGAGAGUCCAGAGGGGACACGGAGCUGCUCCCAGGGCUGGAGCCCCUCUGCUCUGGAGCCAGGCUGGGAGAGCUGGGAAUGUUCACCUGGAGAAGAGAAGGAUCCAGGGAGACCUUGGAGCCCCUUGCAGGGCCUGAAGGGGCUCCAGGAGAGCUGGAGAGGGACUGGGGACAAGGGCUGGAGGGACAGCACCCAGGGAAUGGCUUCCCAGGGUUAGGGGGGAGAGUGGGAAGGGAUUCCUGGCUGGGAAGGUGGGGAGGGGCUGGGAUGGAAUUCCCAGAGGAGCUGUGGCUGCCCCUGGAUCCCUGGGAUUGUCCAAGGCCAGGUUGGAUCCCCCUGGGAUAG
rnacentral:lncRNA from 1 species